rnacentral:rRNA from 1 species
UACGGAGGGUGCAAGCGUUAUCCGGAUUCACUGGGUUUAAAGGGUGCGUAGGUGGGUAUGUAAGUCAGUGGUGAAAUCCCCGAGCUUAACUUGGGAACUGCCGUUGAUACUAUAUAUCUUGAAUGUCGUAGAGGUAAGCGGAAUAUGUCAUGUAGCGGUGAAAUGCUUAGAGAUGACAUAGAACACCAAUUGCGAAGGCAGCUUACUAUGCGAAUAUUGACACUGAGGCACGAAAGCGUGGGUAGCAAACAGG